CGGAUGGCAACCUUUGCUAACUCACAUUUGUUUUAAUUUACUGCCGUGGUAAUGGUUGUUAUAAGGCAGCCGUUGGCUCUGAAGCCUCCUCAUUAAUUAAAAGAGCAUCAUGGGUUGUGUGAGGCUCAGAGGCAGAUGUUAAGUUGCUCAUGGCUGUCAAACACUCGUGUACGGCGGGCAAUCGUGUGUUUAUCUGUCUGGGAUAACCUCAAGACAUGGAUAUUGUGAGCAGCGUUUCCAUAUUCUGUUAGAUAUGUAUAGGAUUGAACAAGAUCUGGCCUCUGCGCUUCAGAUAACGCUUCAAGUUAUAAUAAGAGCUAAUUGAGAGAGUUUUCUUUUGACGUUUUUGAGGUAUAAAUGUGCAUAUUUAGAAUUUGGUGAAAACACAUGAAUGAGAUCUCUGGUAAUCUGUUUCAUCUGUUUCUCCUAGAAAGCAAUUAGAUUAAACAUAAAGACUUUGAUUGAGUCUCCUGUUCUCCUUCAGUAAUCUUCAGUAAGUCUCUCCUUGAGAGUUUCAACAGCAUCUCCCAAAGUCUGCAAUCAAAACCCAGAGAUCUCAAUAUGAGCGCAAACAUUUCUCAUCAUUCUUCCAGUAUCAUCUGAUCUGAAUUGCCUUGCACUUUAAUUUUAUAGCUUUAUACAACAUUUUUAUACUUCUACUGAAUUGUAUACAUGCUGCAUGUCAGCUGUCUCAUUUGUGUGCAGUUUUAUAUGUCCCAAUGAAUUUUAAGUGAAACCGCUAAAUUAAAUGAAACAUAUCUGUAAACUUUGUUACAUUUUACAAUCUACGAGCAAUAUAAUUUUCCUCUGGGCAGCAAGCACACACACCAUAAUCACAUUUCCAGAUUAACCAGAUGUCAAACAGACCUGUAUAAUAAUAUAACUUUUAUUACACUACAAUUUUAUUAAGCUGCCUUAAUUAAAACUAAUCUCUUUAUUUACUGUAUAUUUGUUUUCUAUUUCUAGACUUGAUUUACAUUUAUAGGCUGUUUAAAUUAUUACCUUUUUUUUUCCUGUUUAAAAAACAACAAGAGGAUAGGACUUUAUUUUUACUUUAUGUCCUCUCAUUUAUAGUCAUUUAUAUCUGAACAGCAGCGUCCCAGAGAAUGAGAGCGCUCUCUAGUGGUCACUGCUAACCAAAGACACACCCCAUCGCUUGUGAGGCUCUUUUGACAAGGGCUUGACUAGACCGAUUAGGUGGUCACCCCACCCCAAAAGCUUCCCUUCCCAUGAUGCCUCGGGCUACGACGCCACACCCUGCGACAGCACUCCCCCCUCCUGAGUGGGACGAUCUCUGUGCAGUUUGAUUCAUGGCUCGGCUGACAGGUUAAAUUGCCGGUGUGGAUCUCUGGCACGGAAUAAGAAGAAAUUGAGCUGGUUUGGUCCCGAGGCGAUGGACGGGGGGAGGAGAACGUGCUGGUGGGAAGCAACCCACUGCGGCUUUCUAUCCUUUCUGAUUUAUGCCUCCUCUGAUGUGCAAAAAACAAAUGAAGCAGUGUAAUAAAUGUUCUUUCUGUCUCCAUAUAUAUACAUGUUGGCCGUUAAGCUUCAAAGUUUGUGCAGUUGUCGGCCUUCCUUUAUCAGAUACUGUGAUUCCUGAACUCUUUGGUGUGUAAAUCUACCUGUAGGUUCUUCCGUGAGAGAACGAGUGGGAAAAAACGUAAUAUGCUGUAUACAGAAAAGUGUAUGAACUUCAUUCUUUUGUCAUGGAAAUGAGGGUUGACUGGACUGAAAAGAAAAUGAAAAGCUAUAUCCUGGUCAUGCGUGGAAACCUCUGAAACAGAUGGAAAACUGGCUUGAGAAACCUGGAUUCAGUAAUCAAAAAUAUUUGGAGGAUGUAAAUGCAAAAAAGCCCCCAUGAAAUCAGAAUUGGAGUUUUAUGGGUUGUAGUCCAUUGAUUUGCUAGACCUGUGGUUCUUGACUGGUUUUGCUCUAGGAAGCUGUUUAAGCAUGUGCUUGUUCUGCCUUAGUGUGCAUUUAUUUUAAGAGAUGUGUUAAUCUCUAAAUACUGUGGAUAAGGUCUUG